rnacentral:rRNA from 1 species
UACAGAGGGUGCGAGCGUUAAUUGGAAUUACUGGGCGUAAAGCGCACGUAGUCGGCUUUGCAAGUCGGUUGUGAAAUCCCCGGGCUCAACCUGGGAACUGCAUCCGAGACUGCAUUGCUAGAGUAUGGGAGAGGAAAGCGGAAUUUCUGGUGUAGCAGUGAAAUGCGUAGAUAUCAGAAGGAACAUCAGUGGCGAAGGCGGCUUUCUGGACCAAUACUGACGAUCAGGUGCGAAAGCGUGGGGAGCAAACAGG